GACGACGCUGGGCGGCGUGCCUAACACAUGCAAGUCGAGCGGGGUUGAAGCGAGGGGUAACUCGAGUUUCUACCUAGCGGCGGACGGGUGAGUAACGCGUGGGCAACCUGCCUCAAGGACUGGGAUAACAGCUCGAAAGGGCUGCUAAUACCGGAUAAGCCUAUGGCCUCGCAUGGGGCCAUGAGCAAAGGGGAAACCCGCCUUGAGAUGGGCCCGCGUCCCAUCAGCUAGUUGGUGAGGUGAAGGCUCACCAAGGCGACGACGGGUAGCCGGCCUGAGAGGGUGACCGGCCACACUGGGACUGAGACACGGCCCAGACUCCUACGGGGGGCAGCAGUGGGGAAUCUUGCACAAUGGGCGAAAGCCUGAUGCAGCGACGCCGCGUGAGCGGAGAAGGCCUUCGGGUUGUAAAGCUCUGUCUGGAGGGACGAAGGAAGUGACGGUACCUCCGGAGGAAGCCACGGCUAACUACGUG
rnacentral:rRNA from 1 species